rnacentral:rRNA from 1 species
AUUGAACGCUGGCGGCAGGCUUAACACAUGCAAGUCGAACGAAGUCUUCGGACUUAGUGGCGGACGGGUGAGUAACACGUGGGAACGUACCUUUUGGUUCGGAACAACUCAGGGAAACUUGAGCUAAUACCGGAUGAGCCCAUCGGGGGAAAGAUUUAUCGCCAUUAGAGCGGCCAGCGUUAGAUUAGCUAGUUGGUGAGGUAAAGGCUCACCAAGGCUACGAUCUAUAGCUGGUCUGAGAGGAUGAUCAGCCACACUGGGACUGAGACACGGCCCAGACUCCUACGGGAGGCAGCAGUGGGGAAUCUUGCGCAAUGGGCGAAAGCCUGACGCGGCCAUGCCGCGUGAAUGAUGAAGGUCUUAGGAUUGUAAAAUUCUUUUACCAGGGACGAUAAUGACGGUAGUCGGAGAAGAAGCCCCGGCUAACUUCGUGCCAGCCGCCGCCGUAAUAC